ACAAAAUUGUAUGAUGAAGAAUUUAAGUGAUCCAUCGACAGAGUUUAUUAAAACUAUGUUGACAGUCAUUUCUCUGACAAUA